rnacentral:rRNA from 1 species
UACGUAGGUGGCAAGCGUUACUCGGAAUCACUAGGCGUAAAGCGCAGGUAGGCGGUUUGGUAAGUCUGUUGUGAAAGCUCCCGGCUCAACUGGGAGAGGUCAACGGAAACUACCAGGCUGGAGUGUGGUAGAGGUAGCUGGAAUUCCCGGUGUAGCGGUGAAAUGCGUAGCUAUCGGGAGGAAUUCCUAUGGCGAAAGCAGGCUACUGGACCAUCACUGACGCUGAUCUGCGAAAGCUAGGGGAGCAAACAGG